GUGAUAAUCACCGACUCCAGGGCGCUGCGAAACCUGCCAAGAGCCACCCCGUUAUUGAGGUCUGUGUACAGGAAACAUUUUUAAAACUAGUAAUUCACUGCGCCCUGGAGCAAAGCAGAAAGGCCCAUAAGCAAGAAGCGCUCAUCAGGUGAAACCACAAUACUCUUUUAAGAUCGAGCCGAUCCAGAAACAACCCAGCUCUAGUAAAUGUGGAAUGGAAUGCAGCUGGGCGCUCAGCCGCAUCACAGAGGGCAAACGCCACGAAGAAAACCACGGGUUUCACCCGCGUCUCAAUUCUCGGAAGCAAGUGGAUGUCUACCAGACUCCGACCGAAGGGUAAAACGGUCCGAGAGCCACGCGUGGGGAGCAGACGCCGCCCUCCCGGCAUGAGCGGGUUCCGCUUGGAGAGACGCGUGUGCGCGUGCGGACAUACACCAAUGCCAGGCUUAAAAAUUAUAACUACACCGACCGACCGAAGCAUCAGGUUCAGAUUUAGAGUGGUUUUAAGAAGAAACUUCCAACGAACUGCUUCCGUGGUAACACCCGAGACGCAUAACACUGUCCCAUUUCCAAGAUCACGAAUUCAGGCAUCCUGCUCUUGGUCUCCGACCCGCUCUACGCACAGGACGCCCAUCUGCCUCCCUGGGACCUUCUGCUCUUCUCCACCCACUUCCGCGUGCGCCCAUCCGCUCUUCCCCCUUCCUCAGGGGCUCUAGAGAGCACCGUGGGACACACGAGCCCGGUCACGCUCCUGCAGACAGCACAGCUCCACGGGGAUCCACAGCCCAGUGAGACCCUUACAAAGCUUUUCUCUGUUAAUUUGCUUUUACGGUGCCUACUUUGUGCUUCUUUCUCCUCAUGUUUCCUCCUUUCCUGCCUCCUCACCUCCUUCUUCACUGAGAAGCCCUCAGAAGUUCUUGGAUCCUACUCUUUCACUCUUUUGGUAAAGAGAGAACACUAAAAGGGUUUCCACUUGGCCUUUCUUUCCAAGAAAAUGCACUGACCGAUUAGAGAUUAGAGGAAAAAGUCAGUGUAUUUAUGAUUCCUCGAUACACUAAUUGGAAGACACCAUCUGGAUUCUGCAAACGGUGGAGUAUGUAAAUCCCAACUACUCACUCCGGAGUCGGCAGAAGGCCUGCGCUGGAGUCCGAACUCUGCUUGGAAUUCAUCUAGCUCAGUCCCAAAUCAGACCUGAUUUAGCCUGUUCCAGGGUUACCUGCGUUCAGCCACCAUUGCAGUGACUGCUUUGGAUACAAUUACAGCGGCCACAUCCAUCUGGUCCCCAUGAACAAGCGCUCCCACUCCGUGCUUUACCCACUGGAGACCCAGUGGUCUCCCCUGAACUGCAGAACCUUUCCCUGGCGUCAUUUCUUACCCGCACAGACAAUGUAAAGAGGCCC
ensembl:lincRNA